rfam:Frankia sp. Dg2 genome assembly, contig: Dg2_contig54
GGAGGUUGGCCCUCCGGGAUCGCUCUGCAUGGGGGAGGUCUCAAACCGCCGUAGGCUGCGUCGGUGAAUGAGCCGGGGUGGUGAGCGCUGCGGAAAAGGCGCACGGGAUGCGUCAGGU